GAGGAUUCGAUAUACGAGCUGCUACAUCUAAUUCUGCCUCCGAGUCACGACCAAGUUUUGCUCUUCAUGCACAUGAUAAAGCUGUCAGCACAAUUUCAUACAAUCCUUCGGCACCUAAUCUUCUCGCGACAGGGUCAAUAUAUAAGAUGGUAAAACUGUGGGAUCUGUCCAAUAACCAGCCUUCAUGUGUUGUCUCGAGAAAUC